UACGUAGGGGGCAAGCGUUAUCCGGAAUUAUUGGGCGUAAAGAGUACGUAGGUGGCAACCUAAGCGCAGGGUUUAAGGCAAUGGCUCAACCAUUGUUCGCCCUGCGAACUGGGAUGCUUGAGUGCAGGAGAGGAAAGCGGAAUUCCUAGUGUAGCGGUGAAAUGCGUAGAUAUUAGGAGGAACACCAGUGGCGAAGGCGGCUUUCUGGACUGUAACUGACGCUGAGGCUCGAAAGCGUGGGUAGCAAACAGG
rnacentral:rRNA from 1 species